rnacentral:lncRNA from 1 species
UUUUAUAAUCCUACAUUUUUAUAUUCAACUGAUCUGCCGUUUACUUGUUUCCCAUCUACGCCCUACUCGCUGAGUCGAUGAUUAUCACUGAGUCUAUGAAACUCACACCCCUUUAUUUCCCCUUUUACAGAUAGGGAUCAGCCUAGUGUGUAGCCAAUGACGCAUUCGGUGCACCGUGAAUAGGUAAAGGCAUCUCCUAGCAAUUUAUUCUGAGUAGCUCCGCU